GAUGAACGCUGGCAGUGUGCCUAAGACAUGCAAGUCGAACGAAGCACUUAUCUCUGAUUUUUUCGAAAUGAAGGGAUUUGUGACUUAGUGGCAAACGGGUGAGUAACACGUGGGUAUCUGCCCUCAAGUGCGGCACAACAGAUGGAAACGUCUGCUAAUUCCGCAUGUGCUCUGAGGAGUAAAGAUUUAUCGCUUGAGGAUGAGCCCGCGGCACAUCAGCUAGUUGGUGGGGUAAAGGCCUACCAAGGCAACGACGUGUAGCCGACCUGAGAGGGUGACCGGCCACAGGGGUACUGAGACACGGACCCCACUCCUACGGGAGGCAGCAGUUAGGAAUCUUCCACAAUGGGCGCAAGCCUGAUGGAGCGACACUGCGUGAGGGAUGAAGGUUUUAGGAUCGUAAACCUCUAAAAUUGGGACGAAUAAUGACGGUACCAAUUGAGAAGCACCGGCUAACUCCG
rnacentral:rRNA from 1 species